rnacentral:rRNA from 1 species
AUUGAACGCUGGCGGCAGGCUUAACACAUGCAAGUCGAGCGGGGUGAUGGUGCUUGCACUAUCACUUAGCGGCGGACGGGUGAGUAAUGCUUAGGAAUCUGCCUAUUAGUGGGGGACAACAUCUCGAAAGGGAUGCUAAUACCGCAUACGUCCUACGGGAGAAAGCAGGGGAUCACUUGUGACCUUGCGCUAAUAGAUGAGCCUAAGUCGGAUUAGCUAGUUGGUGGGGUAAAGGCCUACCAAGGCGACGAUCUGUAGCGGGUCUGAGAGGAUGAUCCGCCACACUGGGACUGAGACACGGCCCAGACUCCUACGGGAGGCAGCAGUGGGGAAUAUUGGACAAUGGGGGGAACCCUGACCCAGCCAUGCCGCGUGUGUGAAGAAGGCCUUAUGGUUGUAAAGCACUUUAAGCGGGGAGGAGACUCUUUUGGUUAAUACCCAAGAUGAGUGGACGUUACUCGCAGAAUAAGCACCGGCUAACUCUGUGCCAGCAGCCGCGGUAA